rnacentral:rRNA from 1 species
UAGUCCACGCCGUAAACGAUGUCAACUAGCCGUUGGAUUCCUUGAGGAUUUAGUGGCGCAGCUAACGCGAUAAGUUGACCGCCUGGGGAGUACGGCCGCAAGGUUAAAACUCAAAUGAAUUGACGGGGGCCCGCACAAGCGGUGGAGCAUGUGGUUUAAUUCGACGCAACGCGAAGAACCUUUACCAGGUCUUGACAUCCUAGAAACUUAGCAGAGAUGCUUUGGUGCCUUCGGGAAUCUAGUGACAGGUGCUGCAUGGCUGUCGUCAGCUCGUGUCGUGAGAUGUUGGGUUAAGUCCCGUAACGAGCGCAACCCUUGUCCUUAGUUGCCAGCACAUAAUGGUGGGAACUCUAAGGAGACUGCCGGUGAUAAGCCGGAGGAAGGUGUGGAUGACGUCAAGUCAGCAUGGCCUUUAUGGUCCGGGCUUACACACACGCUACAAUGGUCGAUACAAUGGGUAGCGAAGCCGCGAGGUGAAGCCAAUCUCGCAAAGUCGAUCU